rfam:Eimeria maxima Weybridge genomic scaffold, Emw_scaff416
GAUAGUAUUGCCUAAAGGUAAAGAAAAAAGUUGCAAAUCUUUUUAUCUCAGUUCAAUUCUGAGUACUAAUU